AUUUUACUCAUGAGUCACAUGCACAAAAAAGGCAAUGAUCAUAGGAUAAAAGCCUGAAGUCCACAUCCCCCUCCAGGAUAAUUAUUCCAUGUCUGGCAAAGACAACAACCAGCUGGCAUCUGGGCAGCCUGGGUUGUUCACAGAGAUUUUGCUCACACCUCACCUCUUCCCAACCCUGUGGCGCAGAGGGACCACUGUUCCUACCCUCAUUUUGGAGAAGCAGAAGUGGGCCCUUCCAUUCAAAACCCACUGCCACUGAGCUGAGUCCAACUCAUAGUGACCCUGGAGAACAGAGGAGAACGGUGUGCACCCAUCUGUAUUCUGAGGGCAUCAAGGACACAGGGCAACAAGGUGCCCCUUAUCUAUCUGAGGUCAAAUGGCACGCCGACAGACAUCAGAGCGUGCAGGUGUGGUGAGCAGAAUCGUCAACUCUACAUUUUGCUUUACACAUAGCAAUAAAGCUCAAGUGCAUGGCCAAGCGCUUAAAA